rnacentral:pre_miRNA from 1 species
ACAACAUUCGAACCGUCUGUCUUCCGAGCAAUAUCACCCGCUCGGUGGAAGAAGUUUCCCUUCGUCGU